CUACGUGCCAGCAGCCGCGGUAAUACGUAGGGUGCGAGCGUUAAUCGGAUUUACUGGGCGUAAAGCGAGCGCAGACGGUUACUUAAGCAGGAUGUGAAAUCCCCGGGCUUAACCUGGGAACUGCGUUCUGAACUGGGUGACUAGAGUGUGUCAGAGGGAGGUAGAAUUCCACGUGUAGCAGUGAAAUGCGUAGAGAUGUGGAGGAAUACCGAUGGCGAAGGCAGCCUCCUGGGAUAACACUGACGUUCAUGCUCGAAAGCGUGGGUAGCAAACAGGAUUAGAUACCCUGGUAGUCCACGCCCUAAACGAUGUCAAUUAGCCGUUGGGCAACUUGAUUGCUUAGUAGCGUAGCUAACGCGUGAAAUUGACCGCCUGGGGAGUACGGUCGCAAGAUUAAAACUCAAAGGAAUUGACGGGGACCCGCACAAGCGGUGGAUGAUGUGGAUUAAUUCGAUGCAACGCGAAGAACCUUACCUGGUCUUGACAU
rnacentral:rRNA from 1 species